CCUACGGGAGGCAGCAGUCGGGAAUAUUGCGCAAUGGAGGAAACUCUGACGCAGUGACGCCGCGUGCAGGAAGAAGGUUUUCGGAUUGUAAACUGCUUUAGACAGGGAAGAAAAACGACAGUACCUGUAGGCUACGCGCCGACUACGUAGGUGCGAGCAGCCGCGGGAAUACGUAGGGAGCACGCGUUAUCCGGCUUUAUUGGGUGUAAAGGGUGCGUAGACGGAGAAGCAAGUUAGUUGUGAACUCCCUCGGCUUAACUGAGGAACUGCAACUAAAACUACUUCCCUUGAGUACUGGAGAGGAAAGUGGAAUUCCUAGUGUAGCGGUGAAAUGCGUAGAUAUUAGGAGGAACACCAGUGGCGAAGGCGACUUGCUGGACAGUAACUGACGUUGAGGCACGAAAGUGUGGGGAGCAAACAGGAUUAGAUACCCGAGUAGUC
rnacentral:rRNA from 1 species